CCUACGGGGGGCUGCAGUGGGGAAUAUUGGACAAUGGGGGGAACCCUGAUCCAGCCAUGCCGCGUGUGUGAAGAAGGCCCUCGGGUUGUAAAGCACUUUCAGUGAGGAAGAACGCCUGGUGGUUAAUACCCAUCAGGAAAGACAUCACUCACAGAAGAAGCACCGGCUAACUCCGUGCCAGCAGCCGCGGUAAUACGGAGGGUGCGAGCGUUAAUCGGAAUUACUGGGCGUAAAGCGCGCGUAGGUGGCUUGAUAAGCCGGUUGUGAAAGCCCCGGGCUCAACCUGGGAACGGCAUCCGGAACUGUCAGGCUAGAGUGCAGGAGAGGAAGGUAGAAUUCCCGGUGUAGCGGUGAAAUGCGUAGAGAUCGGGAGGAAUACCAGUGGCGAAGGCGGCCUUCUGGACUGACACUGACACUGAGGUGCGAAAGCGUGGGUAGCAAACAGGAUUAGAUACCCUUGUAGUC
rnacentral:rRNA from 1 species